GGUGAACUGAAACAUCUAAGUAGCCGGAGGAAGAGAAAGAAACAUCGAUCCCGGGAGUAGCGGCGAGCGAAACCGGGAGAGCCCAAACCGGGGUGCGUGCACCCCGGGGUUCGGACCGCAGGGUUGAUUUACCGAGAGUAGCAGAAUGGUUUUGGGAAAGCCAGCCAGAGAGGGUGAAAGCCCCGUAAGCGAAACUUGAAGUAACAUGGCGGUAUCCAGAGUAGGUCGAGACACGUGGAACCUUGACUGAAGGCGCGGGGACCACCCCGUAAGGCUAAAUACUCCUUAGUGACCGAUAGCGCAUAGUACUGUGAAGGAAAGGUGAAAAGGACCCCGGGAGGGGAGUGAAAGAGAACCUGAAACCCUGUGUUUACAAGCUGUGGAAGAACUUUACAUGUUCAACCGCGUACUUUUUGUAGAACGGUCCGGCGAGUUACGCUGGCUGGCGAGGUUAAGGACUGAAGGUCCGGAGCCGAAGGGAAACCAAGUCUUAAUAGGGCGGUAAGUCAGUCGGAGUAGACCCGAAACCGGGUGAUCUAUCCAUGUCCAGGUUGAAGUUGCCGUAAAAGGCAAUGGAGGACCGAACCCACAUCCGUUGAAAAGGGUGGGGAUGAGGUGUGGAUAGGGGAGAAAUUCCAAUCGAACCCGGAGAUAGCUGGUUCUCCUCGAAAUAGCUUUAGGGCUAGCCUCGUCCAAGUCUUGCGGAGGUAGAGCACUGAAUUUCCUAGGGGGCGUCAAAGCUUACCGAAGAAUAUCAAACUCCGAAUGCCGCGUAGAUGGUGGACGGGAGUCAGACUACACGAGAUAAGUUGGGUAGUCGAAAGGGAAAGAGCCCAGACCUGCAGCUAAGGUCCCAAAGUGUGUGUUAAGUGGAAAAGGAUGUGGGAUUUCAAAGACAACCAGGAUGUUGGCUUAGAAGCAGCCACACAUUAAAAGAGUGCGUAAUAGCUCACUGGUCGAGAGGUCCUGCGCCGAAAAUGUCCGGGGCUGAAACACACCACCGAAGCUCGGGAAUGUAGAUGAUACAUUGGUAGAGGAGCAUUGCAUACGGGACGAAGCAGUACCGGAAGGAGCUGUGGACUGUAUGGAAGAGAGAAUGCCGGAAUGAGUAGCGAGAGGAAGGUGAGAAUCCUUCCGGCCGAAUAUCCAAGGUUUCCAGAGUAAAGCUGAUCUGCUCUGGGUAAGUCGGGACCUAAGGCGAGGCCGAGAGGCGUAGUCGAUGGACAACAGGUUGAGAUUCCUGUACUACGGUAUGACAGAACUGUGGGGACGCAGAAAGAGAGCACUACCGGGAAUGGAAAGACCGGGGCAAGCGAGGUAGGAGUCACAUAGGCAAAUCCGUGUGGCGAUCCGAAGACGUGACGCAUACCGAACUAAAAGUAGGGAAAUGUGUGAGCUGGCUGCCAAGAAAAGCCGCUAUCGUUCAUACCGUACCCGUACCGUAAACCGACACAGGUGGAUGAGGAGAGGAUCCUAAGGCCGACGGGAGAAGCAUUG
rnacentral:ncRNA from 1 species